UUUUGCUCGAAUAAGUAUUUUAAACUUUUAUGAGGUGUAUCAAUUCCACAUCUCGUUUCAGAAUACCAUUGUUGCUAGUUCCAAGUUAUGUUGAGCAAUUCAGUUCUUGUGGUCUAUGUUCUCAUGACCCAAUAACAAUAACUCUUUCACUUUGCAACAAUGCACAACCAAGUCCAUCUUUGAUACACAGGACCAAUUUUAUAUGGUCUUUCAACUUUGAGAAUUCGGCCAUAUUUUAAAAUAGCCUUUCAUCCAACAACAGAUGAGCAAUUUGAGAGAAAUCUUUAAACCUUAGAAGAUGUGACAUAGACUAUUGUACUAGAGCGAAGAAGUGGCGACCUUAGCAGUAGGGACACUGGCGAUCGUAAGAAAUUCUGGGUUCCAAAACUCUCUUUCCAAAAAUGAUUUUUCAGAAGGAGCGAAUUCCCCGCAAACAAGGCAGGAGACGACUAUCUCAAGGUGCAUCACGCGUACUCAGAAGCCGCAUUAUGCACUAGAUUGAAGGAUGAAUUGGGAAAACCUUUUGCUAGUAAUUGAAUUGGCCUACAAUUAUAGCUUUCGGGCAAUAAUUGAUAUGACACCAUAUGGAGCUUAUUGUGGAAAGAAAUAUUGAUCUCCACUCUAUUGACAUGAGGUAAGUGAAAGAAAAGUAACAGGACCUGAUGCGCUUGAAGAAAUGAUUACGCUUAUCCGACAAAUUCAACAACUGCUCAACGAACCUCAAGAGCGACAGAAAUUUUUUUUUGUAGAUACUCGUUGAUUUGAUUUGAAAUUUUUGAAAUAGGGGAUGAAGUUUUUCUCAGUGUUCCGCAUUCUAAGAAUGCACAAAUUCGAUGUGAAAGAGAAGUAUCUAGCAUUAUUCUCUGACGUAGUCAAAUUUCGAGGACGAAAUUUCUUUAAGGGGGAGAGGAUGUAACACCCAGCAUUUUCACUACAGUAUAUAUAUUAUUUUCUAUUAUCUAAAAGAAGAAAGAGAAGUAGAAUCACUGAGAUGAGAUGAGAUAUUAUUAUAAUACCUUGAGCUUUUAAUUCAAUGAUUGCAUAAUUUGAAUAAUUAAGUAUUCUUGCUUUCUUUAUUAUUUUCAUUCUUGGAAGCAAGUUUAUAAUUCCUAGUUAAAGGGAUUAUUUUAUUAUUUUUCAGAGAUGAGAUUGGUGAUAAAUACGAAAUAUUAUUAGUCGACUUAUUGCUCGGCUAAUUGAAGUGACGGAUGUUAUUUAAUUAUUUAUCUAUGAGCUUUCUUUUUUUUUAAUAGUGAUAGUUUGAGGAAAUUUAGUAUAUCGUGGACGGAGGGAGUAUUAUAUUUCAUUGGGUGUAUAAUAAUUUAUUAAUUUAGAUAGCUAUCAAAUACUACUUGAGCUUGGAGCACAAGUUUCGUGAGUCAUAUUAGUGUAGAGAAUUGCUUUUCUAAUUUAUUCUUAUUUUUAUUUGAUCUAAUUUGAGGGCCACAAAAUAAGGCUUAUAGGAAAAGCCAAGUUUUACCUCUUAUUAUUUAUUUCUUCUACAAACCUCAAAUGGGCCGAUCAAGUAAGGGAAAUGAGGUUUGAAUUAUAUUGCUCAUUUCUAUAAUUGGAUUUAAAUUUUUAAUGUUUGAGAUAAGCAUUUAUUUAUUGUAAAGUGUAUAUAUUAGUUUGAGGAGAUUCAUUUCCUUUUCUUCUCCCCAAAACAGUCGACCUUCUCCCCUCUCUCUUUAUGGAACCUCAGUUUAGUUUGCUUUCAACCUUCAAGAAGAUUCAGCCGCCACCUCUGCUCCGACCGCCGUCGGCUGCCGUCGAGUCCAAGUCCGACGUCUCGUCUGUUCUUCCCUGGUGCCCCUCGCACUACUCUCAUCUUCUCUCAAUUUAGCGAAGAACCCAAAUGAGAAGCCCUAAUUUCAAAAUCCGAAAUCGCCGUCACCCGAGCCCGAAAUUCGGCAAUACAGCAUCCUCCUCUUCGACGUGGUCGAAGUUCUCGCACCGGAAGUCCUCGCCGUUCCCCCUUCUUUUCCGGUGUGGAGCCCUAAUUCUUAGUAGAAGGAAAUUACUACUGUCGCGACUGGAAGGCCAACGAACGGCUGAGCUUCGCCCAUCUCUGCCUUGAAUCCAUGCUCGAGAAGGAGAGAAAGGAAAACGAGCCCUAAUUCUUUUCUACUCCCGCCGUCAUGGUUCGGCUGCCACCUCCGCCGUCUGUGGAAGACCGGCGAUUCAGCGGCGCCGCUCCAUUCACAACGCCGCUACUGCUGCUACACGAUCCCCUCCGAGGCAGCAAGCGCUGCUGUCAUCAUCGUCGUCUUGGCUCGACUGAACAGGGUCGCGUCCCUCGUCGUCGAAAAGUUAGUAUUCUACUUGUUAUUGUAGAAAGUGUUUGAUGUUGCUUGUGAUUUCUGAGUUCAUGCCAUAAUAAUCGAGGCAUAGGUGACUUCUCUCUAAGAUUCCUAAAGUGAGAUAUUAAACAAAAUGUUAUAUGUUUCUAAGUUAGUAAUUACUUUAAAUUAAGUAAAAUGAUGGCAGGAAUCAUAGCUUCAGCCCAAAGCUUCGAUUUUUGACCCUCCCUCAAGAACCCCAGAAUUUCAUCUUCUUUAUAUUUGUAUCAAUUGACUAUGUAUACAUGUCUAUAUGUAUGUGAAGAAUUGAUUGGGAUUUAUUUGGGUAUUUAUUCACAAGAAAACAUGAUUCCCUAAUAGUUUAGUUUAAGUGGAUUUGGGAGUUCUUGGAAUAAGCUAGCUACAUGUUUGAUGCUUGUGUAAUUGUACUCCUUGAAUUGUAAAAUGAGAUUAUAUGACAAUAGUUGGAGGAUAUCAAGCAUGCUACUAUAUGUUGAUGUGUUGAACAUGAAUUACGUUUAAGCUAAAGCAUGCUAAUGUGUAGUAAGAUGAUGUAUUUGAGUUACUAUAGCUUUUAUUUGAUAAAAAUAUGAGUUAUAUGUUGAGUUGAGAUGAAGAAGGUAUUGCUGUUGGUUUUGCUGUACAGGACAGUACCUUGUAAGGUAUUUUCGGGAGUGUUCCUGUGAUCCAAAUAACUUGAAUUUUACUGUAUAACUUCAUCAUGAGUAGUAGAUCUCUGCAAAUUUCAGCUAAAUCCGAGACCAAUAGACAUGUCAAACUAUUUUCUGAAAUGUACUGCGUGAAGCAGCGUAGUUCAGUGGCAGAUUCUACCUUUGGUGAUAUAACUUCUUAUACACUUGAGAUAUUGUAUUUUUGUAAAUUUCUAAGAAAUAUAGACGUUAAUAGCUUUCUAAAAAGGUAAAGCUCGUAUUUUUCCUUGAAGCGAUUGAUUUUAUAUGAUUUUCCAAAGUUAGGAUUCAAAUGUGUAUGUGUCUUGAUUAAACUUGUGAUUGGUAGUUAAUUGAGAUCCUACACUACUAAACUUGAAUUGAGGUUUUAUUGUUCUAACUACCUAUUGAGGAUUAUUGAUUACUAAAGCUUGUUAAUAUGAUAGUUGAUGGACAUAAUUAUGUUUAUAUGAUUAAUUACUUUGGGAUUUUGUGUUUUACAUGUAUGGUUAGUUGUAAACUGAUCUCUAUGGAAUGGAUUUGUUUACUUCUAAACUUUCUCAAGUAGAGGAAUUCCUAUAAGAUAGGAAUAUUAGUUUAUACUUUCUUAAAGUUCAUAAGAGUUAGUAUAUUGGUUAGUUUAGUUGAUUCAACCCUAGCUCUGCAGAAGAUUAAAAGUUUAUUGGGAUGUUAUUUAUAGCUAAUUCUUCUUAUCUAGUUAUCCAAUCUUAUUUUAGAAUCUUGCUAUUAUGAAGGUGACAGUAGCAAUGAUAGAUAAGUGAGCAAGAGUUUCUACAUCGUUAAGCGUAUCAGGUGGGCUUUCUAAACUCAUAAUUUGAAGUGCGCACUAUUUAAUUAUGUUAUUAUAUGAAUGAAGUUAUAUUAAAGUUAUUGACUUGCCAAAACUUUUAUGAGCUUGUAUGUUACCAUCUACGAGAGAUAGACGAUAUCGGCCCUAUGCUGAAGCGAGAUGUCAGUAAGGGUUUGUGCACAUAGUUGUGACCGUGAGUCAUCGAGCGGGUUGGCCGGUCACUGUGAUCGGGAGCCUUCGGGCCGAUCACUGUGUUUGAGAAGGAGGCCUACUUCUCAACACAAGGUUACAUGAUGCGUAGUUAUGGUACAUACAUGUUAAUUGUCUGCAGACGUAUAUGAUAUUAUGAUGAUAUAUAUAUAGAAGUUUUACAGUUUUGGCGUGCACAGGUUAUUUAAAUAAAACUCCUGUGUGAUGCUUGAGAUGGCAAGUUCAAUAUAUAGCUCUAAGAGCAAACUUUAAAGUUAUUUCGGCAUGUGACCAUUGAGUACCUUUUUAGUACUCAGCCCUGCAUAUGUUUCUAAAUGUGCAGGUUAAGCUGUGAUGCAGAUGGAGGCGAGCAGAGCAAAGCUUUUGAAGUAUAAGUAUUAAAUUAGGCUCAGGAUUUCAUGUCUUCAUACAUGUAAUCCACUUAAGUUAUUCCGCUGCAACACUUAGUGUAUUUUACUUUAUUGAUGUGUUGUACAGAUUUUAAACCAAUAGCUUCGAAAAUUAUGUCACUUGAAAAUUUGACAACUUGUCGUUAUGUAUUGUGAGUUGUCUGCUUUGAGUUUUAGAAAAGAUUGUUUAUGAUUACCAAAUAUUUAGGUAAAUUAUUGUUUAAGCAAGAUGAUUAUUUUUAUUGAAACCUCUUUUAUUUUCCAUUUUCUUUUUCCAUUUCCCCAGUCACAUUUUCCCCGGCUUAACUGUUGUUAGCUUAGGUCGGGCUGUGACAGAGUGGUAUCAGAGCAGGUCAUUUGCUCUGAGCCUAAAUAUCCUUUUGAGUCUAGUCUAAAUUUGAAUCUUUGGACUAGUAUGAGUAAUAUAGUAAAAGCUCUGCUCUCCAUCUCAUCCAGCUUAGCCAGGUACGGAUUUUUCAGAGUUUUAAAGUAGCAUGUUACAUUUUUAAACAAGUUUGAGAUAUGAGUUGCAGUUUUGCAAGUAUUAGUAUGAUGGAAACUUAUAUAUUUUAAAAUGAGCAUGGACAACAUGAGUUAUUUUUGAGUAUCCUCUGCCUAUACGAACUUUUGGAUUUGAAUGGAUAAAAGUGUUAUUCAUAUAUUAAUAUUUAUAUUUUGAUAUGUGGAUGGAGAUAUAGACAGUUUGAUGAUACAAUAAUGAUGUAUAUCAGUCGCGAUGUAACCUAGUACUAGUAGUGAUGUUAUACAGUUAGGGCACCACAAUUAGUACUAAGAGCUUUUUGCAACAUAUAUUCCUAUCUUUCGUAUGAGAACUCAUUGAGGCAAAUUUUCCCAUGAUAUGAAACGACCGAAGUAGUCAUUUACUAGGUUGUUGAGCUUUAAUUGCUUAGAUGAUUGAAAUUUUGUGUAUGAGUUUUAUACUUUAGUUGGUUUAUAGUUAUGUAGCAGUUUGACUUUACGGAUGGAAUAAAAGCUCAAUUAUGGGGAUUUUGUGUAUUUACUCGGCAUGAUAUCUCAAAGAAGAAAUGGAAAUUUGCCAUCCGCCAUGUGAAUAAUUUAGAGGAAAGUUUUUCAUCAUCAAGAUCCCCCUAUUCAUAGUAGAGUUUCACGAGUUUCGCUUCCUUAGAUGCAAUGAUCAAGAGCGCCUUCUUGUAUGUUAUUUCAACUACAAGGAUCGACUGAUUCUUAGUGGGAGACGAAGCAGAAGAUACAUACCCUCGAGCGAUUAGAGAAUCUUAUUUGGGGCCACGUCACAGAAGUUUCUAUGAAGAACAUGUUCCCAGAAGCUACCAUAAGCAAAUGAAGAUGAUCGUGGUUGAAUAUGAUUGAGAGUUUUGAGACAUAUCUCGAUAUACGCCUUAUAAGGUUGAAACAUAGAGUAGUUGUAACUUUUGAUAGAGUUUUGAUGUAGUGCCUUUACUUGUUGGCAAACCAAAUAUUCUUUCAGCUAUUGCAAGCCAAACAUUCCUUCAACUAAUGAAGAUAUCUCUUUUCCAUUUCAUCCCUCCCACCAAAAGUUUUGUUUGAAAUCUUGAUAUAAUUUAGUGCUUCUGUGGUGGGCAGUAUAUAGCGUAUCAUGAGCUUUACUCGUGAUUUUAUUUCUCAACUGUUCAGUAUUGGGUACACAACUUUUCUCAAACAUGAUAGCAGUACCCCUAGCUUUUUGGCAAGUAUUGACCCCUUCUAUCAAAAUCCUUACCCAUAAUUUUUCUCCUUUUUAUUUUCCCCAUGUACUUUAACAAUUCUUCUUCUCAAAUCAAAAAUCAUUGUUAACAUUGCAAUUACAGCUUCUCUUGUUUGCUGUGGUAGAACCAUUUGUAAAUCCAACUUUCAAAUCCUUGAUGAGAAUUUUUCUUCAUGGGUAAGGAGAAAUCCUUAGUAAACUUGAGUUUUUCUACUCAAGGCAUCCACUACUAUAUUGGCUUUGCGUGGGUGAUAAUUUAUUCUACAAUCAUAGUCCCUUACUAAUUCGAGCUAUAUUCCUUGUCUCACACUUAGAUCUUUUGCUCGAAUAAGUAUUUUAAACUUUUAUGAGGUGUAUCAAUUCCACAUCUCGUUUCAGAAUACCAUUGUUGCUAGUUCCAAGUUAUGUUGAGCAAUUCAGUUCUUGUGGUCUAUGUUCUCAUGACCCAAUAACAAUAACUCUUUCACUUUGCAACAAUGCACAACCAAGUCCAUCUUUGAUACACAGGACCAAUUUUAUAUGGUCUUUCAACUUUGAGAAUUCGGCCAUAUUUUAAAAUAGCCUUUCAUCCAACAACAGAUGAGCAAUUUGAGAGAAAUCUUUAAACCUUAGAAGAUGUGACAUAGACUAUUGUACUAGAGCGAAGAAGUGGCGACCUUAGCAGUAGGGACACUGGCGAUCGUAAGAAAUUCUGGGUUCCAAAACUCUCUUUCCAAAAAUGAUUUUUCAGAAGGAGCGAAUUCCCCGCAAACAAGGCAGGAGACGACUAUCUCAAGGUGCAUCACGCGUACUCAGAAGCCGCAUUAUGCACUAGCUUGAAGGAUGAAUUGGGAAAACCUUUUGCUAGUAAUUGAAUUGGCCUACAAUUAUAGCUUUCGGGCAAUAAUUGAUAUGACACCAUAUGGAGCUUAUUGUGGAAAGAAAUAUUGAUCUCCACUCUAUUGACAUGAGGUAAGUGAAAGAAAAGUAACAGGACCUGAUGCGCUUGAAGAAAUGAUUACGCUUAUCCGACAAAUUCAACAACUGCUCAACGAACCU
rnacentral:lncRNA from 1 species